CUUUUGUCCAUCAGGUCUUAACUGAUGACAUCACAAGGCACAACCCGUAGAUACAAAGUCUACCUAUAUGUCCAAAUUCCAGUCAGCCAUAUCAAACAUAUUGAACUUUCUUCUUAAUGCACAACACACUAUUCACAGUAUAUUUCUCCUUUUGUCCGAAUAAAACUUUUUAAAACUUCCUACUUCAAAAUAUCCCUGUUUCCAACAUUAACCUCUUUCCUAUUAACGUCUGUAAUUUUGAGCGUCACUGCCAAAGAAUAAAUUUAAAAGGUCCCUAACAAAUUUUGCCUCUGCAGCGGCCCCAAGGAGCCUACUCUUAACGAAAUCUGCAGGAGGGGUCUUUUACAUGCACAGGGCGUGACAUGUUCCUGUACAUGGGGCCUCGGAUUUAACGUCCCCAUCCGACGGACUCACAUAAUUAACUAUAUGUACACUAUAUACACUACAAAACUGUCUAUAUACACAUAUGAUACAUCCAAUCGUCUACACUUCACAGUGAUCCUUUAC
rnacentral:lncRNA from 1 species